ensembl:lncRNA
CUGGAAGGGGUGGAGCCAGGCUCCCCCUCUCCUGGUCCCCAUUUAAGGGCUUACUGCCACAGAGUGAGGAUUUCUCUCUGGAGAUUGCUCCUCUUGAAGUCUUUUUCAGUAAGCCCAUGAUGAAAGUGGAGGUGAAGAAAUUAAUUCAGACAAUGGAGUUUAUUGUGACGAUGACCUGAAGAAUAGCUAUCAAUGCAGAUUUUCUGUUUUGAGGUAUUCUGGACAUGGCUGUAUUUUGCAUGUCAUGAAGAGGACUAAAACAGUGCAACAUGAAAUAUAAAAGUCUGAAUGUGAAAAGAAUGACAACCUCAAAUUUGAACAUUUUUCUACAGUGGAGAAAAUUCAAUUACUUUUCAAGACUUCGUCAAUCAAUUUGAUUGAGACAUACUUGUACUUCUGUUUAACUGCUUUUUUAGAAGCAUUUACAUAGCUGAAUUUUUCAAGAACAUGAUUUCAAGGAAGGUCAGAUUUUAAGUUCACUUUUGUUUGAAAUCUACAUUGAUAUCAAAUGAAACUUCUAAAUAACAGAGGUCAAAUUUUCAACCUUUGCUUUCAUAUAUUUAUUCUUUUUAAAUUAUAAAGAAAUGAAUGUAGUAUGAUGCUUUCUUACUGAAUAAUAUUAUACUCCUAGAGUCCAUCUAAAACCAAAUGACAGUUUUAAUGUCACACUCUUUCUCCUCAGAUACUAAGAUUAAAAACCUGUCGUCUUUACUUACUAUGAGACAAUUUCCCUUUACGUGCAAGUUUGUGAAAGCUUAAUUCCAUCUGUUGCUUCAUAAGACAAUUCAAUACUGUAAAAAGUGUGUUUUUUAUAAGAUCAUUCCUUUUUAUAUUUUUAUGAUGGUAAGUGUAUGUGCUUAAUCUUCAAAAAAAAAUAUUCUAUGUGUGUCAAAAAUGUUUCAACAGUUACAAUUUAAAAUUUUUAUGUAUGUUGCUUUAAGAGUUGUGGAAAGAGAUUAAAAGAAUGUUAGGGAAGAAAGAAUUUUUUUUUUCCAAAUUAGAAUAUGUGUAACUUCAGAUAGCUUUCUCCUUGUCAACUGCUUGCUUUCACACAUAGUAAUACAAACUUAUUUAAAAUAUGGUCAUUAUUUUGGUAAUGAAGAAAAGAGGAGAUCCACCGGUUGUUUUUUCAUCAAACAAAUAUCACCACCUCCACACUUCAAAAUGCCAAGUGUCAUGUUAGAAGAUGACUGUAAAAUUUCAGAGAAAAUGUAGCAUUUAAUUUGAUUAAAGCACUUCAGUUUUUAACUUAAAGUAUGGGAAAACAAAGACAAUGCUUGUUUCCAGUUUGUCUAACAUAGUUUCCCUGAACAGAUUUAAUAUGUUUUGAAAUACACAGUCUCCAGAAUUGCUGAAUAACCUGUACUUCC